rnacentral:rRNA from 1 species
GUUGGGAAUCUUGCGCAAUGGGGGCAACCCUGACGCAGCGACGCCGCGUGCGGGAUGACGGUCUUCGGAUUGUAAACCGCUUUUCCACGAGACGAUGAUGACGGUAUCGUGGGAAUCAGCCCCGGCUAACUCCGUGCCAGCAGCCGCGGUAAGACGGAGGGGGCAAGCGUUGUCCGGAAUUACUGGGCGUAAAGCGCGCGUAGGCGGUCGUCUACGGCGGUGGUGAAAGCUCCCGGCUCAACUGGGAGAGGCCCGCCGCAACGGGACGACUCGAGGGUGGUAGAGGCAGAUGGAAUUCCUGGUGUAGCGGUGAAAUGCGUAGAGAUCAGGAGGAACACCCAUGGCGAAGGCAGUCUGCUGGGCCAUGCCUGACGCUGAGGCGCGAAAGCCAGGGGAGCGAACGGGAUUAGAUACCCCAGUAGUCC